rnacentral:rRNA from 1 species
GCGAACGCUGGCGGCAGGCCUAACACAUGCCAGUCGAACGGAUCCUUCGGGAUUAGUGGCGGACGGGUGAGUAACACGUGGGAACGUGCCCUUUGGUUCGGAACAACUCAGGGAAACUUGAGCUAAUACCGGAUGUGCCCUUCGGGGGAAAGAUUUAUCGCCAUUGGAGCGGCCCGCGUCUGAUUAGCUAGUUGGUGAGGUAACGGCCCACCAAGGCGACGAUCAGUAGCUGGUCUGAGAGGAUGAUCAGCCACACUGGGACUGAGACACGGCCCAGACUCCUACGGGAGGCAGCAGUGGGGAAUCUUGCGCAAUGGGCGAAAGCCUGACGCAGCCAUGCCGCGUGAAUGAUGAAGGUCUUAGGAUUGUAAAAUUCUUUCAGCGGGGACGAUAAUGACGGUACCCGCAGAAGAGGCUCCGGCUAACUUCGUG